rnacentral:lncRNA from 1 species
UUUAUUUACCCCGUAUUGCACUCUUACAAGCUUCUUUGCACUCUUUUGUAAAAUAUUGUUCUGUUAUUCACACUGCCUUGCACUAUUAUUCGCGUUUAAUUGUGAACUUAUUUAACAGUUAAAAGAACGCGUGAUCUUUUAUAGGAAAACUUUACAUAAUCGUUUAGCCGUUAUGUCGCGCCUCUCGAACUCCGAACCCCGCCGGCGACCGUCCAGCCACGCCGCCGAGCUUCCUGGCACGCUGACUCUUAUAUCGCACAUCGCCGACCGUCCUACGCUGCAGCGACCGUCCUGCGUCACCGACGCUUCGCCUGUAUUUGAAGGGGAUGCCGUUCUUCUGCACUUUUAAGUUCAGAUUAUAUUAAGAAAUAGAGAAAGUAAAAUUUUGGCUUGUUAAGGAGAGGUUGCACUGGAGCGAGCCUAGCGAUACACUAUUAGAAGGAAAGUUGUACCAUUUUUCCUGGCGUUGUACUUUGCGUUGCACUAUUAUCCCUGUUGCCGGCCGUGCAGAUUUUGUCAUUUAUCUUGAGUAAUUGUAUUAAAGUCUUAAAGCCGAACAGGAAACAGCGGGGCCGGCGAAUUGCGGGGGCGGAUAUGGUCCGGGUUCCGAGAAAUGAGUGAGAUUGCGUAAGGCAGAAGCGGCGCAUUUAAUGCGCGCCAGACCGUACGGCAGGUAGUAGGGUAGUAUACGUAUGUCAAGAAAUACGCGGGAGGAUAUUGUAUAGGAGGGGCAUUUUGGUCAGGCGGCGAAAAAAGCGGACCGAAUCUGCAAAAACGAAAAGGUGGCCCAGUUUUG